GACGAACGCUGGCGGCGUGCUUAACACAUGCAAGUCGAACGGAAAGGCCCUGCUUUUGUGGGGUGCUCGAGUGGCGAACGGGUGAGUAACACGUGAGUAACCUGCCCUUGACUUUGGGAUAACUUCAGGAAACUGGGGCUAAUACCGGAUAGGAGCUCCUGCUGCAUGGUGGGGGUUGGAAAGUUUCGGCGGUUGGGGAUGGACUCGCGGCUUAUCAGCUUGUUGGUGGGGUAGUGGCUUACCAAGGCUUUGACGGGUAGCCGGCCUGAGAGGGUGACCGGCCACAUUGGGACUGAGAUACGGCCCAGACUCCUACGGGAGGCAGCAGUGGGGAAUAUUGCACAAUGGGCGGAAGCCUGAUGCAGCAACGCCGCGUGCGGGAUGACGGCCUUCGGGUUGUAAACCGCUUUCGCCUGUGACGAAGCGUGAGUGACGGUAAUGGGUAAAGAAGCACCGGCUAACUACGUGCCAGCAGCAGCCGCAG
rnacentral:rRNA from 1 species